GUGAGUUGGGGGACCAUCCUGAACACGCCUGAUCUUGUCUGAUCUCGGAAGCUAAGCAGGGUCGGGCCUAGUUAGUACUUGGAUGGGAGACUGUUUGGGAAUAUCGGGUGCUGUAGGCU
rfam:Erinaceus europaeus unplaced genomic scaffold scaffold00916, whole genome shotgun sequence